GACGAACGCUGGCGGCGUGCCUAAUACAUGCAAGUAGAACGCUGAAGGAGGAGCUUGCUUCUCUGGAUGAGUUGCGAACGGGUGAGUAACGCGUAGGUAACCUGCCUGGUAGCGGGGGAUAACUAUUGGAAACGAUAGCUAAUACCGCAUAAGAGUAGAUGUUGCAUGACAUUUGCUUAAAAGGUGCAAUUGCAUCACUACCAGAUGGACCUGCGUUGUAUUAGCUAGUUGGUGAGGUAACGGCUCACCAAGGCAACGAUACAUAGCCGACCUGAGAGGGGGAUCGGCCACACUGGGACUGAGACACGGCCCAGACUCCUACGGGAGGCAGCAGUAGGGAAUCUUCGGCAAUGGACGGAAGUCUGACCGAGCAACGCCGCGUGAGGGAAGAAGGUUUUCGGAUCGUAAAGCUCUGUUGUAAGAGAAGAACGAGUGUGAGAGUGGAAAGUUCACACUGUGACGGUAUCUUACCAGAAAGGGACGGCUAACUACGUG
rnacentral:rRNA from 1 species